GCCCGUAUGGUCUAGGGGUUUAUGACGCCAGCUUUACACGCUGUAUAUCCCGCGUUCGAAUCGCGGUAUGGGCA